GAACGUUUCUUCCUCCCGCCGCACGUCUCUCUCCUUAUCCACUCCCACCUUCGCCCACAGCCACACCACUCGUUUUACUCGGCUCGAGAUGAGGAGGAGGACGAGCGCCGCGCUGCUCGCCGACGCGAAGCUCUAGGACGGCGCACUCCGGGUUCCCGCCGACCGGCUCAAGCGAGGCGAGUGGCCGCGGCGGCCGUCGAGGCCACCUCCGUCUGCGCGCACAUUGAUUGCUCGACCUGGCGGCCAUCAUCGAGGCUGGCGCGCUCCGGGUCCGCGCCGACCGACUCAACGAGGCGACGUGGGCGGAGAGCGAGCGCCGCCUGCUUGCCCGCGCCGCCGUCGAGGCCGCCUCCGUCUGCGCGCACCUAGCCGCCGUCCAUGGCCACUGUUGCGGCUGCUCUAAUCGCUCGGUGCGGCUAUCACCUCCCAUGCGGCUGGGCGUCCUUGCCGCAGGCCCGCAGCCACAGCCAGGGGGCAGCGCACCCUAUGGCUGCAAGAUUGGGGAGGCGCACUACUCGAUGACGGGCGUGGCGGUCCUCCGCAUCAUCUUUUGCUGCAAGGCUGCAGGGAAUCCAUGCUCGUCGUUGUUCGCUAGGUGACGCCGCAGCCGCAGGUCGAGCUUGACCACCACGGCGGCAAACUGCAAAAGGCAUUUGGAUCUUUUUCCACUGCAGGUGGCAACAUCCUCAACCCCCCGUCUUUUUUUUCAUUUUUGUUAGUUUGAUUAUCUGCAAAUUGAUGUGCCAUGACCCAGUAGAGGCACAUCCGAGUUUUGUGUUUAGUUUUCUCACCCCAAAUUGCAUCCCAUGACCCAGUAAACUAGUACAGAUGACAUGCCAUGACCCAGUGCACUAGUAGAUAUGUCAUGGCAAUUUUCACCCCCAUUCUGUACCAUGGUAUUUUUGUGAUAUGUAGUUUUCGAUCUGGUUCAGAACUGGUAGGGAUAUUCUAGGGCAAUUUCCAAUAUGCAGUGAACGGCAAAUUUAGAAUCGUUCCACCACAAUUUUUCCAUUUUGUUUUCUUAGGGAGAACCAAAUUUUGCCGCGCCAAAUUCAUACGUUCUGCCAUCACUACAUAGGAGUUCUUUUUUGCCAUGCCGUAGUUUUGCCAUCAAGUUUUACAUUUCUGUCAUAGUUUUGAUGUGUCAAUCGCAUUAUUUCUUCGAGCUGAUGCAUUUUAUUUUUGAAUUUUCAUGUAGCUAGCUGAGUAAUGUUAUGUCCUAUGAAAUUCGGUGACUUUCGUAACAUGGCAUUUCUGUCACAACAAUUCCAUUAUUUUUUGUCACAUGGCAUAUUCUGUCAUUUUUCAUUUUCCUAGUCUUUUUGUUCAUAACUUGGCAAAUUCAUUAAUGGUCACAUGGCAAAUUCAGCUAUGGUCAAAUGGGAAAUAUAUUAGAAAACUAUUUAACAUACAUGGCAAGUUUCUUUUUAAAGCAUGGCAAAUUUAGUUCAUGGAUCAUGGCAAAUUUUACUAAUUCACCAUGGCAAAUUUAGUUUAUGCAUCAUGACAUUUUUACUAAUUCACCAUGGCAAAUUGUAGUUAGAGACAAUAAUUCUAAAUUGUUAUAAUAAAGUUGCCAUGGCAAACUAUAAAAAGAAAAUAAUUCUAGGUUAGUUAUCAAGAAAGUUGCCAUGGCGAAAAAUUGUAAAUAGAGACAGUAAUUCUAAGUUGUUACCAAAAAUUUGCCAUGGAAAUUUGUUGAGACAAAAAUAAUUCUAAGUUGUUAUCAGAAAAGUUGCCAUGGCAAAUUAUAGAGAGACACAUAAUUCUAAGUUUCUAUCAGAAAGUUGCCAUGGAAAUUUCGUAGAGUGAUUUUUUUAAGUUGACAUCAGAAGGUUGCCAUGGCAAAUUGUAGAGAGAACUAAUUCGAAGUUAGUUAUCAGAAAAGUUUCCAUGGCAAUUUUAAGAUGUUAAAAAACAUGGCAAGGUUUUAGAUGUUCAAAAACAUUCCAACUUGCCAUGGCAAUGUUUCAGAUUUUCAAAAACAUUCCAACUUGCCAUGGCAACGUUAUAGAUGUUGAAAAACAUGGCAAACUUGCCAGGGCAACUUAAGAUGUUCAAAAAUAUGGCAAACUUACAGAUGUUCAAAAACAUGUUAAACUUGCCAUGCCAUUUUUAAAAUGUUCAAAACCAUUUGCAAACUUGCCACGGCAAACUAAAGAUGUGCAAAAACAUGGCAAACUUUUUUUAUUAAGUUCAUACAUAAAUAUGGCAAACUUCUUAAGAUGUUCAAAAACAUGGCAAACUUGCCAUGGCAACUAAAGAUGUUCGAAAUCAUGGCAACCUAAUAUGCUGAAAAACAUGGCAAACUUGCCAUGUCAACUAAAAUCACUAUUUGUUUGUAGUUGUGUUUUUUCCCACGACAACUUAUAUAGCCAUGGGUAAACUAACUUUUAAAUCCCAUGGAAAUUUUAAAUUAACUUGUAUAGCCAUGGGCAAUUAACUUUCAAAGCCCAUGGCAAAUUCACCAUUUUAUUGACAUGGCAAGUUUUGUUUCUUAUGUUUGGCAUGGCAACUUUUAUCCUUUAUCGCCAUGGCAUUUUUACUUAUGCAUGCAUGGCAAAUUUUACUUAUCAUUUACGACAAUUUUUACUUCUCAUUCUCCAUGGCAAAUAUACCUUCAUUUUUUGCCAUGGCAAUUUUCAGUUAGUGGAAAUAAUGCAUAAUUUUGCCAUGUUUCUUGUGCACCGAAUAUGCAUAAAUUUGCCAUGUCCUGGAAUACAUAAAUUUGCCCAUGUGACAAGUCUGAAAAUUUCAUAGUUUUGCCAUGUGACCAGGCAUGGAACUUGCCAUGCUAUGAACAAAUUCCAUAAACUUGCUUUUUUGUGACUAGUACUCCAAAAAAUACAUUCUACAUUUUCCAUUAUUCAGAUUGUAGCAUGGCAUUUUCCAGUUUAUUGGCACGGCAAUUUUUACUUUUCUUUUUUGUCAUGGGAAUUAUUUUUUGCCAUUGUAUUUUUGAAUUUUUUGCCCUGGCAACUUUCCCAUGCUUUUGUUAGGAAUCAAAUAUGUUGUAAACCUUGCUAUUUGUAAAAUUAUAUCAUGGAAAAUCAUAAAAUAGUUUGGUCAAACUCGAAUGGUACUUUUUGAAAUUCUCCCUGGCAUUUUUCUGCUUCUAAAGUUGAUGACAUUUUUUUUGUAGUAUAGCAAAAACUAGUCUUUUUAUUUGUCACAGAAAAAGUAAACAGAAUCUGGGCUUCUUCUUUUGUUGUGCUAUUGGGCUUUUUUUUCUUUUUCAUUUUACAUGAAAAAGGCCCGGGCCUGGGGAGGGCGUUCGUGAUUUCGAUGCUCUCUCCUCCCGAAGGCAAAUUUGACAAAUUUGACCUAGAGACGAAAUCAAAUCACAGAAUGAACUGUCCGUGAAACUAUUUCACGCGGCUGACCCGUGGCGCCUAGCUCUCAGGCGCUGCACUAGUGCAACACCUGGGAGCUAGGCGCUGCACUAGUGCAACGCCUGGUAGCUAGGCGCUACACUGUAUAGUGUGGCGCUUAGCUCUCAGGUGCUGCACACUGACUUAGUAAUUUUCUGAUCACACGGGUGCGACGCUGGCCGUGUAGCGCCUAUCUGUGAGGCGUUGCACAGUGUAGUGUGGCGCCUUCGUGUCGGGCGUCACACAAAAAGGUCAGCCGCGUGAAAUAGUUUCACGGAUAGUUCAUUCUGUGAUUUGAUUUCGUCUAUAGGUCAAAUUUGUCAAAAAUUGCCCCUGCCGAACGAAAGCGUUCGUGAGGGGUCCAGACCGAACAUUCGGGAGAUAUCGGCGUCCUAUUUGUUUUGUCGCUGCGACUGGGCCUGUGUGUUCUGGUCCCGCCUGUAAGUUCAAAGGGUAGAAGUGGGUCGGUUCAUUUGAAACUUACAGCGCCUCGGUGCCUGGGUUUGUCAGGGAUGCACUGUGAUCACAUUCGUUGAACCGUCGUGGUGGGUGGGUGCGCAGCCCUCGCAGUUUUCUCCCCCCGCACCCCUCUCCUUGCCGAUCUCGCCAGUCGCUUGUCCUCAACCCCACCUUCAGCUUGCCUCUCGACCUUCCUCGUUGCUCACUUCGCCUGGCUCCGCCUUCCCAUCCCCACGGUGGAGUGCGAGGACGAGAUGACGACCGGGUCAUCCGUCAGCCUCGCCGCCGGGGAGCAGUCGGCCCGCGGUCGCGCGGUGCUCUCCGGCCCGCCGAACACGGUCCUGGCAUCGUCCGCGUCGGCGAUGGGCCCGUCGAUGUCGGCCCCCUCGGCGCUACGAGGGGCAAGGGCAGCCACGGCUCGCACGAGAUGCAGCUCCUGCUCGUGGAGUUAAAGGCCGGUGUUGGGGCCCUCAGCGGCGAGGAGGACGACUUGUCGUGUGUACGCAGUUUUCCUCCCGCUCGUGGAGUGCGCGUUUCGGGCCAGCCUCGAGGGUGGCCGUCCGGACGGCGACGAGCUUCGUCUCUGCAUCCAGACCUGCGACGCCGGCAGGCACGCCACUUCUUCGCCCCUCAGUCGCCGGUGCUUUCGUUCUGUCUACGGCGAUGGGGUUGCUUCCUCUGCUCCAUUCAUGUCGCUGAGGUUUUGUGAUGUUUGCCUGUUUCUCGCUCUGGAGUAGGUCCCUGCGUCAAUCUUGCCUUCGGCAUUGAGCAACUCAGCAACAGGGACUGAUCAGCAUGUGCAUAAUGCUCGUUGGUGACUAUUCCUUGCUUUCUUAUCACAUGUACGCCAUGGUUAUGAGGGAUUAUCUUAACUCUAUUGCUAGAUACUGUGUUUGAGUUUUAUCCAUCUGUUAACCACCACCUGAAAAUGGUAUCAAAAUGUCUAUGCUUAAUUGUUCAGACACUGGAGCAGAAAAGGCUAUAAUUUGGUCUCACUUUGAUUCUGUUACGACUAGAUAUCAAGUUUAUAGCAUGUGAACUCUAAAGAGUAGGAACUAAGGCUGCGUUCGGUUUCUCUCGGCUCCGUUAACUCCGCUCCCGGAGCGGACCAUCCUUUAGCUUAAUUAGGCGGAGCUGCCAAAACCCAACUCCUGAACUCCACGGAGCGGGGAAGUUCCGAACACGGCCUAAAUCUUGUGCUUAAUCACUGCCUACCCUCCUGAGAACCAAAGCAAAAAAUGUAUAGUCCACACAAGUUUUAGUUAAGAUUGUAUCCAUAUCAUAUGGUACAGGUAUUGCCUUGCUGAUACUGACGUUUUGCUGAACCUAGACUUAUAAAUUGCCCUGUAUCACACUCACACAGGUGGAUCCUCGGUAUACAAAUUAGUACUUAAGCAUUGGCUUUUCUGAAUAAGAAUAACGGCGUACAUACCUGAAGAAUUAAAACUUGCAAUAAUAUAUAUUUCUACUUUGUACCACCUGUCUGAGAAUGUCAUAAGUCUUGUUUUUACACAUCUUGAAAUUUCUCAAUCUAUUUAUGAUUCUGCACAACUUUCAGUCUAUAAUUAAUUUUCCUGUCAACCAGCAUCCCAAGCAAGCAAUAUCAAGGUUGGUUAGCACACGUGUUACGCUUCCUAUAUAUGAUAUGGUCCAUAUAUGCACAUUACACGUAAAAAACUUGAGUUUCAUGCAAAGAUUUAAAAAAACAGCUUAUUUUCUAUCCGUGCACUCUUGGUAAAAAGUACCGCAUAUUGAAACUUGUGCAUUGUACCUUGCAGAUAUUGCAAGGCAUCUUCUUCCCGUCUCAGUAAUCAAAAAGUGCACCAUUGGACUGAUGUACCGGAAAGGUAUGUUGAACUCACCUUGAUGAAUCAACCUUGGUCUCAGUCUCUCAAAUGAUAUGCUGCAGCAAACAAAGUCAGGACCUUGCUAUUCAGAUGAUGAACAGCAGUGCUGAUGAGUUGGGUGCUUUCAACUAUGAUAGCUCGGAUGAAGAACUCUACCGCUCAGGUGAUGGGCUAGCUUCCUUUUCCUUAUAAGUUGUGCCCCACUUAUAUAUUUGGCAAGCUUAUGAUCUUACUAACAAUGGUACUAAUGCGACAUCUAUAGCCCUGCCCUGCGAAUUGCUUUUGUUAUGUGCAAGUAUGAGAUCUGAUGUUGUAGGAACACAAUGUAUUUUUACACCCACUGCUUUAAGAUGCUUUUGUACACGCCCCUGCAUAUUGCUGUUCUACUAUGGAGGCUUCUUAUGCCUGGUGCUUGCUUCUAUUAACCAACUCUGUUGAUAGACUGCCAUCAAAUGAAGUACGGUACAGAUGAGACAUUCAGCAAUGACUACCUAAUACCACCGUCUUCAUGUCUUGGUCUUUUCAUCUGGCAGUAGAUACAAGACUCAGCCUAAUGUUAAGAGACAAGUGCUAUAUCUAUGAUGCAUCUCUCCUAAUACAACUUGGUUUAUAAAGCCAAUGUUUGAUCUCUACCAGCACAAGAAGCUUGAUGAGCAAGAAGCACUAGAACUGGAGGCAAAAGGCUGUAGCUUUUCUGUUCUGUAUAACCAUUCUAGCCAAGUUGAUGGAGUUUCUAAUGUCACUGCUUGUUGAGCUGUGAUUUAUUUUCGCCGUUCAUAAUCAGUCUUGCCCAUGAUGUACCACAAAUGAUCCUCUAAUGCAAUGUAACACUUGAUAUGUAUUUAUGUCUCUUCUGUUGGUUCAUGAUUGUGAUUGUGCAGUUUGAAAUCUAUGUUUGCUUGAAGUGGAUGAA